rnacentral:rRNA from 1 species
AGAACGAACGCUGGCGGCAUGCCUAACACAUGCAAGUCGAACGCUUCCGGGGCUUCGGUCGCGGAGGAGUGGCGCACGGGUGAGUAGCGCGUGGGAACCUGCCCUGUUGUGGGGGAUAACCGAGGGAAACUUCGGCUAAUACCGCAUACGCCCCGGGACUUGGUCUUCGGAUUAGGUCUGGGGGGAAAGAUUGAUCGCAGCAGGAGGGGCCCGCGUCGGAUUAGCUGGUUGGUGGGGUAACGGCUCACCAAGGCGAUGAUCCGUAGCUGGUCUGAGAGGAUGAUCAGCCACACUGGGACUGAGACACGGCCCAGACUCCUACGGGAGGCAGCAGUGGGGAAUAUUGGACAAUGGGGGCAACCCUGAUCCAGCAAUGCCGCGUGAGUGAUGAAGGCCUUAGGGUUGUAAAGCUCUUUCGCCCGCGACGAUGAUGACGGUAGCGGGAGAAGACGCCCGGCUAACGUUCGUGCCAGCAGCCGCGGU